UUAGUCUUUUAAUUGGAGACUGGAAUGAAAGAGUAAACCAGGAAAAAUUUUUUUAAGAAAAGGAAAUGAAGUUUACUUUUUAGUAAGAAGGCUAAAAUUUCUCUUUUAGACAAGAAGACCCUAUAAAACUUUAUAUUUUGAGAUUUUAGAAAAUUAAAGAAAUAUUUUACUGGGGCGGUAGAAGAAAGACAUCUUUUUAGAGUUUUAAACGGACAGGUUUAAAUAUCUGGAAUUUCCAAAAAAGAAAUAAGUUACUUUAGGGAUAACAGCUUUAUUCAUUUUGAAAGAUCAAAUUGACAAAUGAGUUUAUGACCUCGAUGUUGAAUUAAAAUUUUCUUUUUGUGUAAAA
rnacentral:rRNA from 1 species